UCUCCGUUGGUGAACCAGCGGAGGGAUCAUUACCGAGUGAAAACUCCCAAACCCCAUGUGAACCUUACCUAUCGUUGCUUCGGCGGUCCACGCCCCGGCGCCCUCUGCGGCCCGGACCCAGGCGCCCGCCGGAGACCCCAAACCCUCUGUCUUUAGUGGUUUUCUCCUCUGAGUGACAUAAACAAAUAAAUAAAAACUUUCAACAACGGAUCUCUUGGCUCUGGCAUCGAUGAAGAACGCAGC
rnacentral:misc_RNA from 1 species